CUCGAGAAGCAGGCAGGGAUACAGAACGUUACUCCCAUUUUACCGGAGGAAGAUGGAUGCAGGAUGCUUGUCAGUGACGUAAGGGAAACGUCACAGAUGUGUUCUUCUCUUCCUACUCCCUUAAGGAAAUGGACCGUGAGAAUUCGGAUACUUCCAGGUUAGCCUUGGCUGCAAGAAAGAUUUGCAUGAGAUUUGGAAGGCAGAAGUGAAGCACCAGAUAUUCUUAAGAAAUGCAAAAUAUUGGAAAGGCAUGAAAAAAUGAGGAGUUGUAAGGACAGUAAAAAGUUUGGAAAACUUCAGUGGAGCUUUGCUUAUGUUAGAGAAAAGAACAUCUUAGGCAAGUGCAAUAAAGAAAUGACAAGAAAGAUUUCCAGAUAGGAAGAAUAUGCACCUGCUCUGUGAGUCCUGGCAUUACUUUGAUUUUAAUUACUUGUCUUUAUCUUCUGCUUUCAAACUGAAGAAAUGUUUUAUACUUAAUAAUUCUAUUGAUAUAUCUUUCUUUUAUGCCCAAGAUAGUACUGAGAGUACAGGAAAGAUAUAUAUGUGUGUUUUCCAGUUCUCACUAACCCUGAAUAUUAGGACUUCAUACUUUUUAUGUAUCAGAAAAAUAAAGAUGCUGUUCAUCCCCUCACAUCACUCUCCUCUAUAAUAUUGUGAG